UACGGGGGGGGCAAGCGUUGUUCGGAAUUACUGGGCGUAAAGGGCUCGUAGGCGGCCAACUAAGUCCGACGUGAAAUCCCCAGGCUUAACCUGGGAACUGCGUCGGAUACUGGAUGGCUUGAAUCCGGGAGAGGGAUGCGGAAUUCCAGGUGUAGCGGUGAAAUGCGUAGAUAUCUGGAGGAACACCGGUGGCGAAGGCGGCAUCCUGGACCGGCAUUGACGCUGAUGAGCGAAAGCCAGGGGAGCAAACGGGG
rnacentral:rRNA from 1 species